rnacentral:rRNA from 1 species
UACGUAGGGGGCUAGCGUUGUCCGGAUUUAUUGGGCGUAAAGCGCGUGUAGGCGGCCAGGAAGGUCUGCUGUGAAAACUCGGGGCUUAACUCCGGGCCUGCAGUGGGUACGGGCAGACUAGAGUGCGGUAGGGGAGACUGGAAUUCCUGGUGUAGCGGUGAAAUGCGCAGAUAUCAGGUGGAACACCGGCGGUGUAAACGGCUUUCUGGACCAUAACUGACGCUGAGGCACGAAAGCGUGGGUAGCAAACAGG